rnacentral:misc_RNA from 1 species
GUAGGUGAACCUGCGGAAGGAUCAUUAACACGUAUCCAACGUUAAACCCCCCUGUGAACUUUCAGCCUGCUCUUGUGGCUUGUAGGGUUAAGCAGCAAUCUCGGUAAAUCAUGGGAGAAAAAGUUCUGAUUCGAGACCUCUGGACCCUAUGGGUUAUGAUUGAAGCGGUAGAAGCAGUGGCAUGGCGUCCCAAGCCUCCAGUGAAUGACAGCGUCAGGGAUAACGCUUAUUCGGUUGCUAGAGGUCGCUCACCGACCGGCAGACAUGUCACAGGGCCUUGCGCCCCCUAACCACCCCUUUCAAUGCACUAGCCCGGGGCGAAAGUCCGAGGCAUUAAAAAAACCGAACAACUGUUAACAAUGGAUAUCUUGGUUCUC